UGGGGAAUUGUUCGCAAUGGGCGCAAGCCUGACGACGCAACGCCGCGUGGAGGAUGAAGGUCUUCGGAUUGUAAACUCCUGUUGACCGGGAAGAAUGGGUCCCGACCUAACAACGUCGGGGCAAUGACGGUACCGGUUGAGGAAGCCACGGCUAACUCUGUGCCAGCAGCCGCGGUAAUACAGAGGUGGCAAGCGUUGUUCGGAAUUACUGGGCGUAAAGGGCGCGUAGGCGGCCGCCUAAGUCAGACGUGAAAUCCCCAGGCUUAACUUGGGAACUAGCGUCUGAUACUGGGUGGCUUGAGUUCGGGAGAGGAAUGUGGAAUUCCAGGUGUAGCGGUGAAAUGCGUAGAUAUCUGGAGGAACACCGGUGGCGAAGGCGGCAUUCUGGACCGAAACUGACGCUGAGGCGCGAAAGCCAGGGGAGCAAACGGGAUUAGAUACCCCGGUAGUCCUGGCCCUAAACGAUGAGUGCUUGGUGUGGUGGGUAUCGAUCCCUGCCGUGCCGAAGCUAACG
rnacentral:rRNA from 1 species